rnacentral:rRNA from 1 species
UAGCCUGCCCAGUGACAAGAUUCAACGGCCGCGGUACCCUAACCGUGCGAAGGUAGCACAAUCACUUGUUCUUUAAAUGAGGACUAGUAUCAAUGGCAUCACGAGGAUUCUACUGUCUCCCCCCUCCAAUCAGUGAAACUGAUCUCUCCGUGAAGAAGCGGGGAUACUUAUAUAAGACGAGAAGACCCCAUGGAGCUUUAAACCCGACGACACCCAUUUAUUUCUACACCUUAAUAUGCUAUUUGGUUAUGUUCCCUCGGUUUUAGGUUGGGGUGACCACGGAGUAUAGCAAAGCCUCCAUGAAAAAAGGAAUAACAAUCCUUAUUAGAGAACAACACUUCUAAAAAUUAAAACAUUAAUUUACAAUGAUCCGACAUUCGAUCAACGAACCAAGUUACCCUGGGGAUAACAGCGCAAUCCACUUCAAGAGCUCCUAUCGACAAGCGGGUUUACGACCUCGAUGUUGGAUCAGGGUAUCCUAGUGGUGCAGCAGCUACUAAAGGUUCGUUUGUUCAACGAUUAAAACCCUACGUGAUCUG